CCCUUUGUAGCUCAGCUGGAAGAGCGUGGGACUGUAAUGGUAGCCGGUCACGUGACCACUGUCAUCCCAAGGCCAUCGGUUCGACCCCGAUCGAAGGGA